rnacentral:rRNA from 1 species
UACGUAGGUGGCAAGCGUUGUCCGGAAUUAUUGGGCGUAAAGCGCGCGCAGGUGGUUCCUUAAGUCUGAUGUGAAAGCCCACGGCUCAACCGUGGAGGGUCAUUGGAAACUGGGGAACUUGAGUGCAGAAGAGGAAAGUGGAAUUCCAAGUGUAGCGGUGAAAUGCGUAGAGAUCGGGAAGAACAUCAGUGGCGAAGGCGGCCUGCUGGGCUGUUGCUGACGCUGAGGCGCGACAGCGUGGGGAGCAAACAGG